rnacentral:misc_RNA from 1 species
GAUGAAGAACGUAGCGAAAUGCGAUACGUAAUGUGAAUUGCAGAAUUCAGUGAAUCAUCGAGUCUUUGAACGCACAUUGCGCCCUCUGGUAUUCCGGAGGGCAUGCCUGUCCGAGCGUCAUUUCUGCCCUCAAGCACGGCUUGUGUGUUGGGUGUGGUCCCCCCGGGGACCUGCCCGAAAGGCAGCGGCGACGUCCGUCUGGUCCUCGAGCGUAUGGGGCUCUGUCACUCGCUCGGGAAGGACCUGCGGGGGUUGGUCACCACCAUGUUUUACCACGGUUGACCUCGGAUCAGGUAGGAGUUACCCGCUGAACUUAAGCAUAUCAAUAAGCGGAGGA